rnacentral:rRNA from 1 species
CCCCGAAGAGGGGGAUAACUACUGGAAACGGUAGCUAAUACCCCAUAUGGUCGGCGAUUCGUUUCGCCGAUUAAAGCUCCGGCGCUUUGGGAGGGGCCUGCGGCCGAUUAGCUAGUUGGUGGGGUAAUGGCUCACCAAGGCGAUGAUCGGUAGCUGGUCUGAGAGGAUGAUCAGCCACACUGGCACUGACACACGGGCCAGACUCCUACGGGAGGCAGCAGUGAGGAAUAUUGCGCAAUGGGCGAAAGCCUGACGCAGCAACGCCGCGUGGGCGAUGAAGGCCUUCGGGUUGUAAAGCCCUUUUCUGGGGGAAGAGGAAGGACGGUACCUCAGGAAUAAGUCUUGGCUAACUACGUGCCAGCAGCCGCGGUAAAACGUAGGAGGCGAGCGUUAUCCGGAUUUACUGGGCGUAAAGCGCGCGCAGGCGGUUCCGUAAGUUGGACGUGAAAUCUUCUGGCUCAACUGGGAGGGGUCGUCCAAUACUGCGGGACUUGAGGUCGGGAGAGGGAAGUGGAAUUCCCGGUGUAGUGGUGGAAUGCGUAGAUAUCGGGAGGAACACCAGUGGCGAAAGCGGCUUCCUGGCCCGCACCUGACGCUCAAGUGCGAAAGCGUGGGGAGCGAACGGGAUUAGAUACCCCGGUAGUCCACGCCGUAAACGAUGGGUACUAGGUGUUGGUGGUAUUGACCCCAUCAGUGCCGAAGCUAACGCGAUAAGU